AGCCAUGGUGACUCAUCUGGUAGAGUAUUUGACUACUAAUCAAAGGAUAGGAGGGUAUGAUACCUGCCCAGGCCA